GUGAAACAAAUUCAAAGCACAAACAAGAGAACCCAUCUCGAUUACCAGCCACUCCUGUGCCUCAACAAAGAGGCUGGAGAACAUAUCCUUGAACCUAAUAAAACGAGAAGCCAAGGAGCAAUGAGAGGCCACAGGAGUAAGUGGGCCCAGUGACAAGACGCAUGUCCUCCUCGCUGGAUGGUGCUUGGAGAAUCCUGGAUGUGUGGAAGACUUACUUCUGGGGCUUCUGGGAAGCAUCAGUGCUUGGGCAUCACUCCAGAGUCCACAUUCAUUACUCUGCAGGAUCAUUCAGCAUUCUCGAGCUUAAUAUUCCUCAUUCAUGAAGUGUCCAGGAAGUUGGAAACUAUCUGAAUACCUGUGGAACACACCUCUACAUUUUGUCUAAAUAUAUCAUUGGACAGUCCUUCUAUGCAGCUGAUCUCAAUCCUACCUUCUCCUGGGCCACUGUAAAUGUCUUGCUGUGUGUCUGAGGUCUUGGAUAGAGUGAAGACAGUCCAACCCACAAUG